rnacentral:rRNA from 1 species
GUUCGAUUAUGGCUCAGAUUGAACGCUGGCGGGAUGCUUUACACAUGCAAGCCGAACGGCAGCACGGACUUCGGUCUGGUGGCGAGUGGCGAACGUAAGUGAGUACGUAUUUCCGGAACGUGCCUAUAGCGGGGAUAACUACGCGAAAGCGUAUUACCGCAUACGCCCUUCGGGGAAAGCGGGGGACCUUCGCCUCGCACUAUUAGAGCGGCCGAUAUCGGAUUAGCUAGUUGGUGGGGUAACGGCUCACCAAGGCGACGAUCCGUAGUUGGUUUGAGUGAUCGACCAGCCACACUGGGACCGAGACACGGCCCAGACUCCUACGGGAGGCAGCAGUGGGAAUUUUGGACAAUGGGGAAACCUCGAUCCAGCCAUCCCGCGUGUGCGAUGAAGGCCUCUGCUAAAGCACUUGGCAGGAAAGCUGAAACGGCACGGGAUAAUACUCCCGUGCAACUGACGGUACCUGCAGAAUAAGCACCGGCUAACUACGUGCCAGCAGCCGCGGUAAUACGUAGGGUGCAAGCGCUAAUCGGAAUUACUGGGCGUAAAGCGUGCGCAGGCGGUUCGGAAAGAAAGAUGUGAAAUCCUGCAGAGCUUAACUUUGGAACUGCAUUUUUAACUACCGAGCUAGAGGCCAGAGGGAGGUGGAAUUCCGCGUGUAGCAGUGAAAUGUGUAGAUAUGCGGAGGAACACCGAUGGCGAGGCAGCCUGGGAUAACACUGACGCUCAUGCACGAAAGCGUGGGGAGCAAACAGGAUUAGAUACCCUGGUAGUCCACGCCCUAAACGAUGUCAACUAGCUGUUGGGGCCUUUCGCCUUGGUAGCGCAGCUAACGCGUGGUGCUGACCGCCUGGGGAGUACGGUCGCAAGAUUGUGAAACCGUGCCGAAUCUGACGGACUCGCACAAGCGGUGGAUGAUGCUGACACCUGAUGCAACGCGAAAAACCCUUACCUACCCUUGACAUGUCUGGAAUCCCGAAGAGAUUUGGGAGUGCUCGUAAGAGAACCGGAACACAGGUGCCGUACGGCUGUCAGCUCGUGUCGUGAGAUGUUGGGUUAAGUCCCGCAACGAGCGCAACCCUUGUCAUUAGUUGCUACGAAAGGGCACUUUAAUGAGACUGCCGGUGACAAACCGGAGGAAGGUGGGGAUGACGUCAAGUCCUCAUGGCCCUUAUAUGGGUAGCGUCCAUGUUUAACGGGUCACACAAAUGGUCGCAGAGAGGCCGCCAACCCGCAGAGGGAGCCAAUCCCAGAAACCCGAUCGUGGUCCGAUCGCAGUCUGCAACCUGACUGCGUGAAGUCGGAAUCGCUAGUAAUCAUGAUCAGCAUGUCGCGGUGAAUAUCGUCCGGCAGUCUUGUACACACCGCCUGUCACACCAUGGGAGUGGGUUUUACCAGAAGUAGUUAGCCUAACCGGGAAGGAGGGCGAUUACCACGGUAGGAUUCAUGACUGGGGUGAAGUCGUAACAAGGUAG